UACGUAGGGCGCAAGCGUUGUCCGGAAUUAUUGGGCGUAAAGAGCUCGUAGGCGGUCUGUCACGUCUGCCGUGAAAACCCGAGGCUUAACCUCGUGGCUUGCGGUGGAUACGGGCAGACUAGAGGUAGGUAGGGGAGAACGGAAUUCCCGGUGUAGCGGUGAAGUGCGCAGAUAUCGGGAGGAACACCGGUGGCGAAGGCGGUUCUCUGGGCCUUACCUGACGCUGAGGAGCGAAAGCAUGGGGAGCGAACAGG
rnacentral:rRNA from 1 species